rnacentral:rRNA from 1 species
AGAGUUUGAUCCUGGCUCAGAAUCAACGCUGGCGGCGUGCCUAACACAUGCAAGUCGAACGAGAAAGUCCGCAAGGAUGAGUAAAGUGGCGACCGGGUGAGUAACACGUGACUAACCUACCUCCGAAUGGGGAAUAACUCCGGGAACCGGGGCUAAUACCGCAUAACACCGCAAGGUCAAAGCAGCAAUGCGUUUGGAGA